CUAUAAGAAGCUUCUGACUGAACCAUGCAAUGGCAGGGCUGAUAUCAGGCAGAGACGUGAAGUCAGCCCCAGGAACUUCACCUGACGCUGGAUUUCAAGUAAAUUUGCCCUUUUUUUUAUUAUGAAUUAAAGAGCGGGGUCCUAUUAGUAAAUCCCAAAAGGCAUUUUAAUUUAAAAAAAAAUUAUUUGAUAUGCUUAGAGUAACCCUGUGAAUUGCCAGUGGAAAUUGAAGCAUAACUCUUAAAAUUAAUUCCCAAACUCAUACAUCAGAGGCAGUGUUAACAAUUACAGUAGACAGUAACAGAAAACAAGAAAUGUUUGCAUCACUGUUAUGUCUCUAUAUGCCUCAACAAUUUCUGCAAACACGUUCAAGGUGUAAAAGAAACCUACACAUAAUGGUAACAAAACAAGUUUGGCAUACAAGAACAAGACAUUAUGAGGGCCAUGCUCAAACAAUCUUGCAUCUUAGAGCAAGUGAGUUGAAAGUACGUAAAUAAUAAAGUUACUGGUAUCCAAAUGAACAACUUGAUAGCAGCAAUAUCCAAGAAGGUGAGAUAGGAUUAGGGCUGAUGGUAGAGCCAGGUUGUUUGACUUGAGACAGGCCAGAGGAAUUACAAGUUCAGCUGAUAUGAUUGAUGAAAGAAACUAGUCUUUAAGGAAUUGAAGAACUGAGGAUGAGGGGAAGAACUCAUGGAGUGAAUGAAAUGCAAUCUGUAAGAAUGGGGCAGCACUGUAAUCAUUAAAGUGACAGACUCACAGUUGUUUCUUACACACAUUUGGUAAAUAGGGGGGUGGCAGCCACCCUCUCCCCAGUUUGUGUUGUAAUAAAAAAUAAUAGGUUAAUAUAUCUAGUAAGGACUAAGGAUAAGGUUGUGGUAGAAGCAGUAUGUUGUGUCUGUUAUAAUUACUUCUUCGGUUUCCACCUUCUCCAAAAAUGGUUGAAGAUACUGCUGAGACGCCCAGCAACUAAUUAUUUCAAGUUUUGGGGCAUUUUUGAGAAAAUGCUCCCUUUUCUCACUAUAAAGCUCCCCAUCCAUACUUAGAUUGCUCUGCUAGGAUUUCUCAUGUUGAUCAUUGGCUUUGCUUUGAGUCAUCAGAUCCUGAAUGCUCGAAAAGACAGCCUUGUUUAUUAUCCUGUCUGUGGCUGUCAUUGGACAAUAGCAUCAUAGAUGGAGGUAUAGUUCUUUAAAGUGGUUGUUUCUCAAUUAAUUGUAUAUUUUGGUUUAUGGUGUUAAAUAGUGAUGUCCCAAACAGUUCGCCGAACGGUUCAGCGAAUCAGCAGCAGACCCUCCCUCUCAGACCCUCCCACCUCCUGGACAGCUCACUAAGAAUGCAGCUUCACAAUGAAUGUAAUGGAUGCUGUCCAGGAGGUGGGAGGGUCUGGGAGGGCGGGUCUGCUGCUGAUUGGCUGGAAUGUGUCUGCUGACUGUGAGGUACAGGGUCAAAGUUUACUCAAUGAUGAGUCCGUGGCGAACCGUUUGUGGCGAACCGUUCGCAAACCAUUUGGCGAACCGUUCGGGACAUCACUAGUGUUAAACAGGGCAUGGUGACUAAUUGGUAUCUUUACCACUAACAGUAGUAUGUUUUCUUUCUUUUUUUUAUUGCAACAAACUGGUGGGGGGAUUAGCCUCCACUGCAUAAGAGUGAGGUGUGAGAUCAGUAGAAGAUAUGGAAGAUAUGCCUGGAUGCAACAUUCAUUACAGGCUGUAAGGGAAUAAUCUGGGUAUGUGUAAGACCUACAGAACGUAGAACCCUGUUAUAAAGUCAGUAAAUAAGGAGCACUUUAACAAACUGUAUUCAUAAAAAGACAAUUUAAAAAAAAAAUUAGACAGAGUUAGAGGAUAACUGAGCCUGAACAGCAAACAAAAACAAAGUAAAAACAAACAUUUUGACUGCCUGCGUUCGUUAAGUAACUGAUUAGGAAAUAGAAGUGACAAUUUGAAAAAAAAUCCUAUUCCCUUUUUGUUAUAUACGUAUGAUGCGGUUUAAAUAUUUCCAGGGUCCACACUGAUAAACACAUACUGAAACUUAAACUGGAACCAAAGUAAAAUUUACUCAACAAAAAGAACAAGUAAAAGAAAGUAGAAAGUAAACACUGAGCAAUGAAAUUAUCUGACAUUAUUAAGUUUGGCACACCUGCUGUUUUGGUCUGGGAGGUUUCCUAAGGACAUGGGAGUUACUUGGCUUAUAACGCUCCUGGGCUUGAGCCCAUAACAAAGGUCAGUAGAUGUAUGUGUUUAUAAAGCAGCAGCAAAGAUUUAUUCUAGUUUUAAAGAAUGUGUCUUCGAUAACUAAAUAAACUGCAAAUUCAAAAAAAUGGAACUGACAUUUCUGUUGAAGUUACAGUAAAAUAUAGCUGAUAGAAAGUUCCAUAGUUUAUUACGGUAUUCAAAUUCAGCCCAUACUGGUCCCACACUGGCAUCCUGAAUGUUUAAAGGAUUACUCCUAUUUGUACAUUUGUUUAUUCAGUUAUACAGAGUUUAACCCCUUUGCUGCCGAAGGUGUAAUUCCACCAUUACAGCAGAAUCAUAAAGGCGUCAUCAGCUAGACCAGAACAAGAGCUGGCUUAAUGUCAGUUCUUUGAAAAUUUUCCGAGACUCUACUGAUUCUUAAAGGGACUCUCCAGUGCCAGGAAAACAAACCGUUUUCCUGGCACUGCAGGUCCCCUCUCCCUCCCACCCCCAUCCUUAGUUGCUGAAGGGGUUAAAACCUCUUCAGUGACUUACCUGAAUCCAGCGCUGAUGUCCCUCGGCACUGGUUCAGGCUCUGCCUUCACUCCCCCCCCGCCGACGUCAUCGGGCGGGGGAGACCUAUUGAGCAUGCUCGGCUGGGGAGGCUUCCCGAUAGGAAAGCAUUGAAUAAUGCUUUCAAUGCUUUCCUAUGGAAAUUUCAGCGACGCUGGAGGUCCUCACAUAGCAUGAGGACGUCCAGCGUCGUUAUAACACACUUUUCGUGUUCUAUGAACACGGAAGUGUCCUCUAGUGGCUGUCUAUUAGACAGCCACUAGAGGAGGACUUAAUCCUUAAAGAUAAAUAUUGCAGUUUAUGAAAACUAAAAUAAUUACAGUUGCAGGGUUAAGGGUAGUGGGAGUUGGCACCCAGACCACUCCAAUGGGCAGAAGUGGUCUGGGUGCCUGGAGUGUCCUUUUAAGUUGCUUUUUGUUGACCGAUUCUCUUUAUCCUGCAUUUAUUUUAUUUAAUUUUUUUUUAAAUCUACAAAUGUUUUAUUUAAAUUGUCAUAAGAUUCUUGAUUUUUAGUCAUUUCAAAUUUUAGUGUUUCUACCUUAUCUGAGUUUUCCUGAAUCUUUUGAUUAAUAAUGUUUAUCUCAUCUUUCAACUCUUAAAUGGCUAGAAUUUCAUUUUUUAUUAUGAUUUUCCUGGAUCUUUGUUAGAAUUUCUUUAGUUAUUGUCUCUUGAUUAAUUUGUGGAAUUGGUGAAAAUUCGAACAUCAUAUCGCUUGAUAGAGUUUCAUAUCAUCAUUGAGAUCUUUUUUUACUUGCUUGUGAUGGGGAAAUUGAUCCUCUCUUCAAAUUAGUUAUUGAAUCCAUGUCUGGUGACACAUAGUAUGAUAAUAGGGAUUUAUUUUGUUUCAGGUCUUUAUCUUCCUUAUUCCUCUUGAGAUUUGUAGUUUUAUUUGCUUUUCUUGAUGCCAUCUUUCUAUAUCUCUCUUUCUUUUUUCUUUUAUCUUUAUCAUAGACAGGCUAAGGCACUGAGUCUAGUGGUGUUGUGGAGACAGGUUUAGGCACUGAGUCUAGUGGUGUUGUGGAGACAGGCUCAGGCACUGAGGCCUUAUAGAAAGCAGUUGUUAUUGGGGGAUUCCAUCAUAAGAGGUGUGGAGAUGGACAAUGGUGGUCUUGUGAGGUGUCUUCCCGGAGCUACUGCUCACAGAGACAGGAGACGUAUCUGUAAUAUUGUUAAGCGAGCAAAGCAGGAAGGGGAAUUGGAUGUACUUGUCCAUCUAGGGACAAAUGACUUGGCUUGCAAUGAGGUUUCAGAGGUUAAGAAAGUUUUUAGUGUUUUUGCCAAUGAUAUACGGCAGGUUGCUUCCACACUGUCAUUCUCUGAAGUUGUGUCUGUGCAUAACACUCAGAACGACAGGCGGAUGCGUAUUAGGGACUUUAACUUGUGGCUUGGUGAAUGGUGUCGGGAGCAAGGAUUUGGCUUUAUUUCUCAUGGUAGCUCUGUUUGGAAUGGAAAUAAACUGUACAAAAAAGAUGGUUUGCAUCUUUCUCAAAAGGGAACAAAUGUUCUCAGUGAGCAGUUCAGAGGUUUUGCUAGGAUGCAUUUAAACUAGGAGGGGGAGGGGGCAAAGGGGUGAUAAAACAUCAAUCCAAUUGUCCCCCAAAACAAGGACACAAGGUGCCUGUAGCAAGUGUGUUAAAAAAAGAUAAGCUUAGAGUCAUAUCUACAAAUGCUCGCAGUUUAGGGAAUAAGAUCCAUGAACUUGUGGCAAUAAUGGCAACUGAUAGCGUAGAUUUAGUCGCUUUUACUGAGACAUGGUAUAAUGAGAAAAAUGACUGGGACAUAGCAAUAUCAGGGUACUCUUUAUAUAGAUAAAAAACACGGACACCCGUGAAAAAAGUGUGAAAACACAAAAAACAAAAUGAAAAACUUAGCUGAUAGGUACACUGCUUCCCAAGGUUAUCUCCCAGCUGAUAACCGUAUAACAGAACUGUGUAAUUGAUAGGAUAUUUUGGGAUACUGCUAGUAUACCUAUAAUAGAGAACAAAACAUAGUGCAAAUAUUGUAAAACUUCCAAUGAUUGAAAUGCACUCACAUAUUCCAAAAAGAUAAGCGUAUUAUGGGUGCCUCCCCUCGAUGGAAAUAGGGGGGUUAACUCCUAUUGAUUUUUCCUCCUCAUUGGCUAUCACUUGAGGAGGAAAAAUCAAUAGGAGUUAACCCUCCUAUUUCCAUCGAGGGGAGGCACCCAUAAUACGCUUAUCUUUUUGGAAUAUGUGAGUGCAUUUCAAUCAUUGGAAGUUUUACAAUAUUUAGCAAUAUUUGCACUAUGUUUUGUUCUCUAUUAUAGGUAUACUAGCAGUAUCCCAAAAUAUCAUACUCUUUAUAUAGAAAAGACAGGGAAGGCAAGAAAAGGGGGGGGGGUGGCCCUGUAUGUGAAGGAUAGCAUAAAAUCUAGCUUAAUAAAAGUUAGUGAGGCGAACAUAGAGUCCGUUUGGGUUAUGUUAGAAUUUGGUAAUCACACAGUAACUCGUGUAGGUGUGAUUUAUAGGCCCCCAGGACAAAUUGAAGAGUAAUCUACUUGUUGAGGAAAUAGCUAAAAUGACAAUGAAGGGGGAAGUUAUCAUCAUGGGUGACUUUAAUCUUCCUGAUGUGAAUUGGAAAACCAAAAUAGCUGCUUGUGCCAGGAGUACACAUAUUCUAAACUCCCUACUGGGAUUGUCUCUAAAACAAGUCGUUAAGGAGCCAACUCGUAAAGAGGCCAUACUAGAUUUAGUGUUAACAAAUGGAGAUUUGCUAUCAGAUAUUACUGUAGGUGAAAGUUUAGGAUCCAGUGAUCAUCAGUCAGUGUGGUUUAAUAUAAGAACAGUGACUGAGUCACAUCACACAAAAACAAAGGUUUUAGACUUUAGAAAAACAGACUUUUCUAAAAUUAGAAUUUGUGUAAAGUAGUCAUUAUCAGACUGGGGCAAUUUCAAAUGGAGUUCAAGAGAAAUGGGAUUAUUUAAACGUUGCACUACUGAAGGCAACAGAAAAUUGCAUUAGGCUUGUCAUUUAAAGCAAACAAUUCAAGAAACCACUGUGGUACUCCGCAGAUGUGGCCAAAAUAGUAAAAAACUAAAAGUUAGCAUUUAGUUAUUAUAAGAAACCCAGAGUGAGGAAGACAGAAUGAUCUAUAAGAUUAGGCAGAAAGAGGCUAAGCAAGUUAUAAGAGCUUCCAAAUCACACACAGAAGAGAAAAUAGCACAGUCAGUAAAAAAGGGGGACAAAUUUUUUUUUAGAUACAUAAAUGAGAAAAGAAAAGUAAAAGAUGGAUUAGUUAGAUUAAAAACAAAAGAAGGAAGGUAUGUAAAAGAGGAUAAAGGUCUAGCUGAUUGCCUCAAUUAAUAUUUUUGUUCGGUAUUUACAGAUGAAAAUGAAGGAAAAGGACUUCAGUUAAGAAAAAGGAUAAAUGAGUCAUUUAUUACAUGUGAGUUUACAGAGGAAGAGGUUCUAUUUCAAUUGUCAAAAGUAAAGACAAAUAAGUCAAUUGGACCUGAUGGAAUACACCCAAAGCUAUUAAAAGAGCUUAGUGGUGUACUAGCAAAACCAUUAACAGAUUUAUUUAACCAAUCAUUGUUAACAGGAGUAGUCCCAGAAGAUUGGAAGUUAGCGAAUGUUGUGCCCAUUUACAAGAAAGGUAAUAGGGAGGAGUCGGGCAACUAUAGGCCAGUAAGCCUUACUUCAGUAGUGGGGAAAGUGAUGGAAACCAUGUUAAAGGAUAGGAUUGAUGAACAUCUAAAAACACAUGGAUUUCAAGAUCAGAGACAACAUGGGUUUACUUCAGGGAGAUCAUGCCAAACUAAUCUUAUUGAUUUUUUUGAUUGGGUAACUAAAAUUAUAGAUCAGGGUGGUGCAGUAGACAUUGCUUACCUAGAUUUCAGUAAGGCUUUUGACACUGUUGCACAUAGAAGGCUUAUCAAUAAACUGCAAUCUUUAAGUUUGGAUUCCAAUAUUGUUGAAUAGGUAAGGCAGUGGCUGAGUGACAGGCAACAGAGGGUUGUAGUCAAUGGAAUAUAUUCGAAGCUUGGACUUGUCACCAGUGGGGUACCUCAGGGAUCUGUACUUGGACCCAUUCUCUUUAAUAUUUUUAUUAGUGAUAUUGCAGAAGGUCUUGAUGGUAAGGUAUGUCUUUUUGCUGAUGAUACUAAGAUAUGUAACAGGCUUGAUGUUCCAGGAGGGAUAAGCCAAAUGGCAAAUGAUUUAGGUAAACUAGAAAAAUGGUCACAGUUGUGGCAACUGACAUUUAAUGUGGAUAAGUGCAAGAUAAUGCAUCUUGGACGUAAAAACCCAAGGGCAGAGUACAGAAUAUUUGAUAGAGUCCUAACCUCAACAUCUGAUGAAAGGGAUUUAGGGGUGAUUAUUUCUGAUGAUUUAAAGGUAGGCAGACAAUGUAAUAGAGCAACAGGAAAUGCUAGCAGAAUGCUUGGUUGUAUAGGGAGAGGUAUUAGCAGUAGAAAGAGGGAAGUGCUCAUGCCAUUAUACAGAACACUGGUGAUACCUCACUUGGAGUAUUGUACGCAGUACUGGAGACGGUAUCUUCAGAAGGAUAUUGAUACCUUAGAGAGAGUUCAGAGAAGGGCUACUAAACUGGUUCAUGGAUUGCAGGAUAAAACUUACCAGGAAAGGUUAAAGGAUCUUAACAUGUAUAGCUUGGAGGAAACACGAGACGGGGGGAUAUGAUAGAAACAUUUAAAUACAUAAAGGGAAUCAACACAGUAAAGGAGGAGACUAUUUUUAAAAGAAGAAAAACUACCACAACAAGAGGACAUAGUCUUAAAUUAGGGGGACAAAGGUUUAAAAAUAAUAUCAGGAAGCAGGGCCGGACUGGGAGAGAAAUUCAGCCCAUGCAUUUUUUUAUCACAGCGGCCCACUAAGAAGGGGGCGGGGCAGAGGAGGUGUGUUUUGUCAUCACCAAUUACAAACACGCCCCCUCUCAAAGUGAGCAUGUUGGUUCAAUGCUCUUCCAGGGCAGACCAUGCGCAGAGCUCUAGCAUGAGAAAAAAGCCCUGUAUUUGUUCUGCACAGUGCAAGCAAAUUUAAUAACAUGCUUGCACUGUGUUUCCUUGCAACUUGUCUCUGGUGUCUCUAUAAAUGGAUACAGGAGGCAAAAAUGCCAGGAAAGAGUAUUGUGCAUGUGUUUGGAGCCUGCUUGUGGUAUUGCGUGUGUGUAGAGUGAGCUGAUGGUGGUGUGGUAUUGUGUAAUAAGGUUGGUUUUAGUCAUGUUGUGUUUGUGGUGUAAUGUGGUGUAAUGUGAUGCAUAUGUGGCUAGGGGCUGUAGAGAAUGUGUGUAUAGGGGAUAUAGCAAGUGUGUGCAUACAGGCUAUAGUGUGUGUGUGUGUAUAUAGGUGAUGUAGUGUGUGUUUAGGGGUGUAGUAUGUGUUUGCUUACAAGGAAUCUAGUGUGUGUAUGUAUAUAGGAGAUCUAGUAAGUGUGUGUUUAUAACGGAUUCAGAGUGUAUAUAGGGAUCUAGUGUGUGUAUUUGUGUAGAUGAUCCAGAGUUGGGUAAGGGAUCUAGUGUGUGUCUGGAAUGUAAUGUGUUUAGGGGUGCAGUAUGUGUGUGAGGGGUGCUGUGUGUGUGUAUAUAUAUAUAUAUAUUUGGAAGUAUUGUGUGUGGUGCAGUGUGUUGGGGGGGUUCUGUGUGUAUGUGAGGGGUGCAGUAUGUGUGUGUGAUGGGUGCUGUGUGUGAGGGUGCUGUGUGUGAUGUGUGUGAGAGUGCUGUGUGUGUGAAAGUGCUGUGUGUGAGAGAGUGCUGUGUGUGAGAGAGCUGUGUGUGAGAGAGCGCUGUGUGUGAGGGAGUGCUGUGAGAGAGAGUGCUGUGUGUGAGUGCUGUGUGUGAAAAUGCUGUGUGUGAGAGAGUUCUGUGAGAGAGAGUGCUGUGUGUGAGAGUACUGUGAGAGAGAGUGCUGUGUGUGAUGGGUGUGAGAGUGCUGUAUGUGAUAGUGCUGUGUGUGAUGGGUGUGAGAGUACUGUGUGUGAUAGUGCUGUGUGUGAUGGGUGUGAGAGUGUUGUGUGUGAGAGUGCUGUGUGUGAUAGUGCUGUGUGUGAUGGGUGUGAGAGUGCUGUGUGUGAGAGUGCUGUAUAAAUGUUAGAAUGGAUUGUGUGUGUGUGUGUGGGGGGGGGUAAAUAAACAAAUAAAAUAACAGGCAUUAUGUCACCCCCUCCCUUCUUACCUUUAGCCUGGGAGGGAGGACCGGCACGCUGGUACCUGGGGCUGGGAGGCGGGGUGGCGGUGUUCCUGGUGGUCCUCGUGGUGAGUGAACUCUAGCCUGCGGGCUAGAGUUCACUCUCGCGAGAUCCGGUCGUUGCCAUGGCAAUGCUCCGGAUCUCGCGAGAGGAUCCCGGUGGAGCUGCAAGUUAGAGCUCCGCCGGGUCCUCCUCUCUCCAGGCUGGCUGUCUCCCUCCCUCUCUCCCCGCCGGCGGCCGCAUUUGACAGCAUGUGGGCCGGUGAGGGAGAUCUCUGAUCUCCCCACCAGCCCUUCCUGGAAAACAGCGGGGCCGGCGCUCGGAUAGCGCCGGCCCUGCAUAGACUGGCAGGGGAGAUCCUGGGACCUCCCCUGCCGGCCUCGGCCCAUGGCCACCGCGGCCCACCGGGCAUUUGCCCGGUGUGCCCGAUGGCCAGUCCGGGCCUUUCAGGAAGUAUUGCUUUACUGAAAGGGUAGUGGAUGCAUGCAAUAGCCUUCCAGCUGAAGUGGUAGAGUUUAACACAGUAAAGGAGUUUAAGCAUGCGUGGGAUAGGCAUAAGGCUAUCCUAGCUAUAAGAUAAGGCUAGGAACUAAUGAAAGUAUUUAGAAAAUUGGGCAGACUAGAUGGGCCGAAUGGUUCUUAUCUGCUGUCACAUUCUAUGUUUCUAUGUUUCUAUAUAGAUGGAUAGUGGCUUCCAAGAGGUUUCAGUGUUCUUUUUUGUUUAGCUAUUCAGUUAUCCGAUUACUUCAAUGCAUUAUUGUGUAAAUAAACAAUGUACAUGUUAACUCGGUGUGCCUAAAUGACAUGGUGUUCCUCUAGCGACAUAUUACUUUAAUGAUGUCACACUUUCUUUGUGAUGUCAUGGACCAAGCCUAUAAAUACUCAGCACAGCCCAGGUCUUAUCCAGUCUCUACUUGACUUUUACACAGCACGCAAGUGAUUGGGGAUAAACUGUUAUAGUUAAAUAUUUACCAAAUGUGGAAUUUAGCAAAAUGGGAAUUUUUAAUUUUUGUUUGAAAUUGUCAAAGGAAAAAAACCUGGAAUGUAAAUUUUCCUAGUUAAUUAACUCCAUUUCCUUUCCGGUCUACACACCCUGUGGUUGUCAUGAGAAUGCAUUAUUUUGGAUUUUCUAAAAAUGUACGGCCACCUUAAUCCUGCGUUGUUGGACCUUUUCUGUAGUUAUUACCUAACAUUGUGUCUACCUCUGUGUUUCUCUUUUUCAGGUUAUGCUUCAAAGCUGUAAAUCUGUCUCUGGGUUUUUUAACCCCUUCAGGACCGAGUCAAUUGUAUACGUUCUCAUCAAAACAAAAUGUAAACAAAAACUGGACUUUGCACUAUAUGUCUGUUCAACCAUAAUUC